AAAAACAUGUCCUUUUGAUUUAAAUUUAAGGUCUAGCCUGCUCAAUGAGUUUUAAAUAGCCGCAGUAUCUUAACUGUGCAAAGGUAGCAUAAUCAUUAGUUUCUUAAUUAGAAGCUGGAAUGAAGGGUUGAAUGAAAAAAUGACUGUCUCUAUGAAAAUUUUAUAGAAUUUUAUUUUUAAGUUAAAAAGCUUAAAUUUGUAUAAAAGACGAGAAGACCCUAUAGAGUUUUAUAUUUUUAUAUAAUAAUUUCUUUAAGUAUUAUAAAAUUUAUUAUGUAGCAAUAUUUGGUUGGGGUGAUUAGAAAAUUAAAUAAACUUUUCUUUUAUAAGAACAUUUAUUUAUGAAAAUAUGAUCCAUUAUUUAGAUUAUAAGAUAAAAUUACCUUAGGGAUAACAGCGUAAUUUUUUUUGAGAGUUCUUAUCGAAAAAAGAGAUUGCGACCUCGAUGUUGGAUUAAAGUUAAUUUUUGGUGUAGAAGCUAAAUUGAUUAGGUCUGUUCGACCUUUAAAACUUUACUUGAUCUGAGUU
rnacentral:rRNA from 1 species